CAGGUAAGGGUGAAAGGGUGCGGUAAGAGCGCACCGCGCGGCUGGUAACAGUCCGUGGCACGGUAAACUCCACCCGGAGCAAGGCCAAAUAGGGGUUCAUAAGGUACGGCCCGUACUGAACCCGGGUAGGCUGCUUGAGCCAGUGAGCGAUUGCUGGCCUAGAUGAAUGACUGUCCACGACAGAACCCGGCUUAUCGGUCAGUUUCACCU
rnacentral:RNase_P_RNA from 1 species